rnacentral:rRNA from 1 species
UACGUAAGGGGGCUAGCGUUGUCCGGAAUUAUGUGGCGUUAAAGAGCGUGUAGGCGGCCCGGUAAGUCCGCUGUAAAAGUCAAAGGCUUAACCUUUGAAUGUCAGUGGAUACUGCCGGGCUAGAGUCCGGAAGAGGCGAGUGGAACUCCUGGUGUAGCGGUGGAAUGCGCAGAUAUCAGGAAGAACACCAACGGCGAAGGCAGCUCGCUAGGACGGUACUGACGCUGAGACGCGAAAGCGUGGGGAGCGAACAGG